rnacentral:rRNA from 1 species
AUUGAACGCUGGCGGCAGGCCUAACACAUGCAAGUCGAACGAGUGGCGGACGGGUGAGUAAUGUCUGGGAAACUGCCCGAUGGGGGGGGAUAACUAGUGGAAACGGUAGCUAAUACCACAUACUCGCGGAUAUGCCCAGAUGGGAAUAGCUAGUGGGUGGGGUAAGGGCUCACCUAGGCGACGAUCCCUAGCUGGUCUGAGAGGAUGACCAGCCAGACUGGAACUGAGACACGGUCCAGACUCCGACGGGAGGCAGCAGUGGGGAAUAUUGCACAAUGGGCGCAAGCCUGAUGCAGCCAUGCCGCGUGUAUGAAGAAGGCCUUCGGGUUGUAAAGUACUUUCAGCGAGGAGGCGUUACUCGCAGAAGAAGCACCGGCUAACUCCGUGCCAGCAGCCGCGGUAAUAC